GAUGAACGCUGGCGGCGUGCUUAACACAUGCAAGUCGAACGAUUAAGGCCCCCUUCGGGGGGUGUAUAGAGUGGCGAACGGGUGAGUAACACGUGGGCAACCUGCCCUCCGCUCCGGGAUAACUCAGGGAAACUUGAGCUAAUACCGGAUACUCCGAUCGGGUCGCAUGGCCUGAUCGGGAAAGUUCCGGCGGCGGAGGAUGGGCCCGCGGCCCAUUAGCUUGUUGGUGGGGUAACGGCCCACCAAGACUACGAUCAGUAGCCGACCUGAGAGGGUGAUCGGCCACAUUGGAACUGAGACACGGUCCAAACUCCUACGGGAGGCAGCAGUGGGGAAUAUUGCACAAUGGGCGAAAGCCUGAUGCAGCAACGCCGCGUGAGCGAUGAAGGCCUUUGGGUCGUAAAGCUCUGUCCUUGGGGAAGAAACAAAUGACGGUACCCAAGGAGGAAGCCCCGGCUAACUACGUGCCAGCCGCCGCUGUAAUAC
rnacentral:rRNA from 1 species